GACGAACGCUGGCGGCGUGCCUAAUACGUGCAAGUAGAACGCUGAAGAGAGGAGCUUGCUCUUCUUGGAUGAGUUGCGAACGGGUGAGUAACGCGUAGGUAACCUGCCUUGUAGCGGGGGAUAACUAUUGGAAACGAUAGCUAAUACCGCAUAACAAUGGAUGACACAUGUCAUUUAUUUGAAAGGGGCAAAUGCUCCACUACAAGAUGGACCUGCGUUGUAUUAGCUAGUAGGUGAGGUAACGGCUCACCUAGGCGACGAUACAUAGCCGACCUGAGAGGGUGAUCGGCCACACUGGGACUGAGACACGGCCCAGACUCCUACGGGAGGCAGCAGUAGGGAAUCUUCGGCAAUGGGGGCAACCCUGACCGAGCAACGCCGCGUGAGUGAAGAAGGUUUUCGGAUCGUAAAGCUCUGUUGUAAGUCAAGAACGAGUGUGAGAGUGGAAAGUUCACACUGUGACGGUAGCUUACCAGAAAGGGACGGCUAACUACGUGCCAGCAGCCGCGGUAAUACGUAGGUCCCGAGCGUUGUCCGGAUUUAUUGGGCGUAAAGCGAGCGCAGGCGGUUUGAUAAGUCUGAAGUUAAAGGCUGUGGCUCAACCAUAGUUCGCUUUGGAAACUGUCAAACUUGAGUGCAGAAGGGGAGAGUGGAAUUCCAUGUGUAGCGGUGAAAUGCGUAGAUAUAUGGAGGAACACCGGUGGCGAAAGCGGCUCUCUGGUCUGUAACUGACGCUGAGGCUCGAAAGCGUGGGGAGCGAACAGGAUUAGAUACCCUGGUAGUCCACGCCGUAAACGAUGAGUGCUAGGUGUUGGAUCCUUUCCGGGAUUCAGUGCCGCAGCUAACGCAUUAAGCACUCCGCCUGGGGAGUACGACCGCAAGGUUGAAACUCAAAGGAAUUGACGGGGGCCCGCACAAGCGGUGGAGCAUGUGGUUUAAUUCGAAGCAACGCGAAGAACCUUACCAGGUCUUGACAUCCCGAUGCUAUUUCUAGAGAUAGAAAGUUACUUCGGUACAUCGGUGACAGGUGGUGCAUGGUUGUCGUCAGCUCGUGUCGUGAGAUGUUGGGUUAAGUCCCGCAACGAGCGCAACCCCUAUUGUUAGUUGCCAUCAUUCAGUUGGGCACUCUAGCGAGACUGCCGGUAAUAAACCGGAGGAAGGUGGGGAUGACGUCAAAUCAUCAUGCCCCUUAUGACCUGGGCUACACACGUGCUACAAUGGUUGGUACAACGAGUUGCGAGUCGGUGACGGCAAGCUAAUCUCUUAAAGCCAAUCUCAGUUCGGAUUGUAGGCUGCAACUCGCCUACAUGAAGUCGGAAUCGCUAGUAAUCGCGGAUCAGCACGCCGCGGUGAAUACGUUCCCGGGCCU
rnacentral:rRNA from 1 species